AAACGGGUGGUAAUGCCGGAUGCUCCAGUUGAUCGCAUGGUCUUCUGGGAAGCUUUCGCGGUAUGGGAUGGGGUCGCGUCCUAUCAGCUUGACGGCGGGGUAACGGCCCACCGUGGCUUCGACGGGUAGCCGGCCUGAGAGGGCGACCGGCCACAUUGGGACUGAGAUACGGCCCAGACUCCUACGGGAGGCAGCAGUGGGGAAUAUUGCACAAUGGGCGCAAGCCUGAUGCAGCGACGCCGCGUGAGGGAUGGAGGCCUUCGGGUUGUAAACCUCUUUUAUCGGGGAGCAAGCGAGAGUGAGUUUACCCGUUGAAUAAGCACCGGCUAACUACGUGCCAGCAGCCGCGGUAAUACGUAGGGUGCAAGCGUUAUCCGGAAUUAUUGGGCGUAAAGGGCUCGUAGGCGGUUCGUCGCGUCCGGUGUGAAAGUCCAUCGCUUAACGGUGGAUCCGCGCCGGGUACGGGCGGGCUUGAGUGCGGUAGGGGAGACUGGAAUUCCCGGUGUAACGGUGGAAUGUGUAGAUAUCGG
rnacentral:rRNA from 1 species